AUACGAAACCUGGUAGUGUCACAUUGGGGGGACCGCAUGUCCCUCAUUCCUUCACUUAGUCAGCCCGCAUGCUUUACCAUUCCAAAUUUCUCCCUUCCCAAUCAGAGAGAGAGAGUGCAAAGCUUCUCCCAAAAUCUCAGCAGCCUGAGCCUGCAACCAACGCCCAACCCCAACGGAACGGAAAAUAAAUCCCCAUUGGCUGAUUUCUGUUGGCUUUUUGCUGCUAACACUAGCCACUCCAGCCGCUAAGCCGACUUCUAGCCUUCAAUUUCAAAGGAUUUGCAUUUUGUACCUGGAAAAUCAAGGCGUAAAGCUCCAAGACUCACAAACUUCCAUUACUAUCGUGUGGACCUCUAUUUUCAAGUCCUUGAUACACAAUUAAAGGAAUUGAAUGAUCGCUUCAAUGAGGUAAACACCGA